UUUUAACGGCUGCGGUAUUUUGACUGUGCUAAGGUAGCAUAGUCAUUUGUUAUUUAAUUGGUAACUGGAAUGAAAGGUUAAACUAAUUUAUUAAGUUUGUAGGCUAAAUAGUAAAUUAAAGUUAAGGUAAGAAUUCUUUAAUUUUCUAGGGGACGAUAAGACCCUAGAAGCUUAACAAGCUUAGUUUUGUGUUUGUUCUAAAAGUUGGUUUGUUUUACUGGGGCGGUAUAAGUAAUUUAGCUAUUUAUUUAUUAAAGGAUCCUUUAAAUAAAGAUAAAAUGGGUAAGUUACUCUAGGGAUAA
rnacentral:rRNA from 1 species